rnacentral:lncRNA from 1 species
UUUCAUGAGCAUGGUCCAUUAUACUAUGUCUCUAACAUGCAUUAACACCAAAAUUCUAUUGUCCGACCUCAAAUAGUUGUGACUUCUACAUAAGUCCAAUUACGAUUACUUAACAUAACGCCAAAUUUUUGACACAAAAGGUAUAUCAUUCUAGUUAGUGAGAUUGUAAGUCUCCCCUCUUUCAUGGUAUUGUAUGGAAACUUGGCCUUUUUUCCUUCCUUUGGAAGAUGUCUUGGCUCAAGGAUCCAUGCUUGUGAUAAGUGGGUUGAGUAUAAAGUCUCCCCUCUUUCAUGGUAUUGUAUGGAAACUUGGCCUUUUUUCCUUCCUUUGGAAGAUGUCUUGGCUCAAGGAUCCAUGCUUGUGAUAAGUGGGUUGAGUAUUCU